rnacentral:tRNA from 1 species
UGCGGGGUAGUUUCUGUUGGUAGAAAUUCGUGACUUUGAACCACGAGUCCGCAGGUUCGAAUCCUGCCCCCGCAA